rfam:Myotis lucifugus cont2.53754, whole genome shotgun sequence.
GGCUGUUCUCAGGUGACACACCCUGGAAUCGGGUUCCCUCCUCUCUGGUUGCAGGUGUAUCACCCAAUAACCGCC